rnacentral:rRNA from 1 species
AAAGGUAAGCUACUAAGAGCGAAUGGUGGAUGCCUUGACUGGUAAAGGCGAUGAAGGACGUACUAGACUGCGAUAAGCUACGGGGAGCUGUCAAGAAGCUUUGAUCCGUAGAUUUCCGAAUGGGGCAACCCAAUGUAUAGAGAUAUACAUUACCUAUAUAGGAGCGAACGAGGGGAAUUGAAACAUCUUAGUACCCUCAGGAAAAGAAAUCAAUAGAGAUUGUGUCAGUAGCGGCGAGCGAAAGCGCAAGAGGGCAAACCCAGUGCUUGCACUGGGGGUUGUAGGACUGCAAUGUGCAAGAGCUGAGUUUAGCAGAACAUUCUGGAAAGUAUAGCCAUAGAGGGUGAUAGUCCCGUAUGCGAAAAACAAAGCUUAGCUAGCAGUAUCCUGAGUAGGGCGGGACACGAG